AUUGAACGCUGGCGGCAUGCCUUACACAUGCAAGUCGAACGGCAGCACGGGAGCAAUCCUGGUGGCGAGUGGCGAACGGGUGAGUAAUGUAUCGGAACGUACCUUUCAGUGGGGGAUAACGUAGCGAAAGUUACGCUAAUACCGCAUAUUCUGUGAGCAGGAAAGCAGGGGAUCGCAAGACCUUGCGCUGAUUGAGCGGCCGAUAUCAGAUUAGCUAGUUGGUGAGGUAAAGGCUCACCAAGGCGACGAUCUGUAGCGGGUCUGAGAGGAUGAUCCGCCACACUGGAACUGAGACACGGUCCAGACUCCUACGGGAGGCAGCAGUGGGGAAUUUUGGACAAUGGGCGCAAGCCUGAUCCAGCCAUGCCGCGUGAGUGAAGAAGGCCUCGGUU
rnacentral:rRNA from 1 species